CGGUAAUACGGAGGGUGCAAGCGUUAAUCGGAAUUACUGGGCGUAAAGCGUGCGUAGGUGGUUUGUUAAGUCAGAUGUGAAAGCCCCGGGCUCAACCUGGGAACUGCAUUUGAAACUGACUAACUAGAGUAUAGGAGAGGAAAGUGGAAUUUCUGGUGUAGCGGUGAAAUGCGUAGAUAUCAGAAGGAACAUCAAUGGCGAAGGCAGCUUUCUGGACUAAUACUGACACUGAGGUACGAAAGCGUGGGUAGCAAACAGGAUUAGAUACCCUGGUAGUCCACGCCGUAAACGAUGACAACUAGCCGUUGGGAGGGUUUACCUCUUAGUGGCGAAGCUAACGCGUUAAGUUGUCCGCCUGGGGAGUACGGCCGCAAGGUUAAAACUCA
rnacentral:rRNA from 1 species